rnacentral:rRNA from 1 species
GACGAACGCUGGCGGCGUGCUUAACACAUGCAAGUCGAACGGUGAAGCGCUUGCCUUUUUGGUGGGUGUGGAUGAGUGGCGAACGGGUGAGUAACACGUGAGUAACCUGCCCUCUUCUUCUGGAUAACCUCAUGAAAGUGGGGCUAAUACGGGGUAUUCCGGGUCUGUCGCAUGGCGGGUUUGGGAAAGAUUGCGCCUUUGGGUGUUUUCGGUGGGGGAUGGGCUCGCGGCCUAUCAGCUUGUUGGGGGGGUGAUGGCCUACCAAGGCGGUGACGGGUAGCCGGCCUGAGAGGGUGGACGGCCACACGGGGACUGAGACACGGCCCAGACUCCUGCGGGAGGCAGCAGUGGGGAAUAUUGCACAAUGGGCGCAAGCCUGAUGCAGCGACGCCGCGUGAGGGAUGGAGGCCUUCGGGUGGUGAACCUCUUUCGCCAGUGAAGCAGGCCUGCUCCUGUGUGGGUGGGUUGACGGUAGCUGGAUAAGAAGCGCCGGCUAACUACGUG